CUACGUGCCAGCAGCCGCGGUAAUACGAAAGGUCCAGGCGUUAUCCGGAUUUAUUGGGUUUAAAGGGAGCGUAGGCGGAUUAUUAAGUCAGUGGUGAAAGACGGUGGCUCAACCAUCGUUAGCCAUUGAAACUGGUCGUCUUGAGUGCAGACAGGGAUGCUGGAACUCGUGGUGUAGCGGUGAAAUGCUUAGAUAUCACGAUGAACUCCAAUCGCGAAGGCAGGUGUCCGGGCUGCAACUGACGCUGAGGCUCGAAAGUGUGGGUAUCAAACAGGAUUAGAUACCCUGGUAGUCCACACAGUAAACGAUGUAUACUCGCGGUUUGCGAUAGACAGUAAGCCGCCAAGCGAAAGCAUUAAGUAUACCACCUGGGGAGUACGCCGGCAACGGUGAAACUCAAAGGAAUUGACGGGGGCCCGCACAAGCGG
rnacentral:rRNA from 1 species